CGGACGGGGGAGUAAUGUCUGGGAAACUGCCUGAUGGAGGGGGGUAACUACUGGAAACGGUAGCUAAUACCGCAUAACGUCGCAAGACCAAAGAGGGGGACCGUUAGGGCCUCUUGCCAUCGGAUGUGCCCAGAUGGGAUUAGCUAGUAGGUGGGGUAACGGCUCACCUAGGCGACGAUCCCUAGCUGGUCUGAGAGGAUGACCAGCCACACUGGAACUGAGACACGGUCCAG
rnacentral:rRNA from 1 species